rnacentral:rRNA from 1 species
CCUACGGGAGGCUGCAGUGGGGAAUCUUGCACAAUGGGGGAAACCCUGAUGCAGCGAUGCCGCGUGAGUGAAGAAGACCUUUGGGUUGUAAAACUCUUUCGUCGGGGAAGAAAAUGACUGUACCCGAAUAAGAAGGUCCGGCUAACUUCGUGCCAGCAGCCGCGGUAAUACGAAGGGGGUUAGCGUUGUUCGGAAUUACUGGGCGUAAAGCGUACGUAGGCGGAUCAGAAAGUAAGGGGUGAAAUCCCAGGGCUCAACUGUAGCAUUGCCUUUGAUACUGAAAGACUUGAGUUAUUGUGAAGUAGUUAGAAUGUGUAGUGUAGCGGUGAAAUGCAUAGAUAUUACACAGAAUACCGAUUGCGAAAGCAGAUUGCUAACAAUAUACUGACGCUGAGGGACGAAAGCGUGGGUAGCGAACAGGAUUAGAUACCCGAGUAGUC